rnacentral:misc_RNA from 1 species
UCUUCCCCAACUGGCAAGCCAGAGGAGAAGGAACUCGCCCCAUAUAGUGGAAGAGAUAUCUCACUAGACAAACUAAUGAGAACACAAAGCAUAUUGCCAUGUCAACUGUGGUUUCAAAACAUAUUGAAAGAAAUUUCAUUCACAAAAUACAUUUAUAAAAUAAAUAAACACAUUCAAUUAUAGUAAAUUCAUGCACAAGAUUGGCAACACAUCAAGUGUACAAUUCACAAUUUUCAAACAAUACAAUAAAUUCUUAAGUACACAAAGACAUUUGUAUCUAAAUCAUACAAAGUCAAUUCCUCAUAUUUAAAAUCCAUAAUUACAAAGAAAAACAAAAUCCAUUCAUUUAAAGUUCAAAUUAAAUCCAAUUUUAAAACAUAGGAAAGAGAAUAGUUAUGCACAAACCUUAUUUGACUUCUCUAUUCUUGACUUAAUCCUUCUCUUCCUUGGGAGGCUCCUUUCCAAUUAAAGCACAUAAUUAAAGUGUUUCAAUAGCCUUUCAAACCAUUUCUAAUAAUAAAUCCAACAAUUGAAUUCUUACAUACUUAAUUUUACUUACAAAUUCUCCUAAGAGUUAAGUUCUUUGUAUUUGGUAUGUUUAUGGUUACUAUUCAAAUUACUAUUCAUUCAAAAUGUUGAUUUUUUCAUAAUUAGUAGGUAUAAAAUUUCUAAACACAUGAUCCUACUAUAUUUUGGGUUAUAAUUUUGUUGGCAUUGAUUGUCAAUUGAAUUUCAAGGCCUAUUAGAAUUAAUCCCAAAAUUUCAGUUUUUGUCUUUAAUGUUUACUGUUCUAUUGGACCAAUCUACAGUGAAAAUUUGGCUAAAAUUUCUUCAUCAAAGUUAUUCCUUAAUAUGUCUACUUUAAUUCUCUUUUUGAAUCACUUCAUUUGGAGUUUUUUAACUCAAGUUAUGGCAUUUUUACCAUAACUGGCCGAAUUGGUUAUUUCCAAAUUUUCUGGGCAAAAUGUGAUUCUGGCAGAUUGAGUGAGCUAACUUCGGUUUGUAAUUUGAAUAGGUUAUAGUAAGAAUUUGAGUUUGUGUUUCUCAUGAAAGUUGUUCUACUAUGUCUAAGCUUUUCAAUGGUUCAAAAAAUCAGGUCAUUUGGACCUCUCUACACAAAGUUAUGACCAUUUGAAUAUGUACUAUUCAUUUGGUCAAUUCUGUCCAGCAACAGGGUACCAAAUCCUGAUUCAAGCUAAUUUUAGGUCAACUUGGGGUCAAUUUUUGGGCAAGGUUUCAACAUGAAAAAUGUGACAUUAUGACCUUAUUUUCAUCUCUAAUUGGAGCAACAUAAUUCAACUUAUAGCCUCUUAAAUAAACAAAGGUCAAGCUGUCCAGAAUUCAAUCAUUUCACAUUCACACUCAUUUCAAUCCCAUUCAUCAAAUUGCAUUUAUAAACACCCUAAUUGACCAAAUUUAAGCAUCACAACUAUCAAUUGGUCAAAGUCUUAAAAACCCUAAUAUCCACCCAAAACCCUAAUACUUGUCUUCCCAAAAUCAUGCAAUUUCAUGCAACUCACUACCCCAAUCACCUGCACAACAUCAUUUAACCAAGAAUUCAUAUUCAAUUCAGUUAAAACACAUCAAAACUAUAAACUUCAAUGGCUGGCCGAAUUUUCCUUAUUCCCAUACAAGCAUGAAUUCUUUCAUUGCAAUGAAAUUUCAACUCAAUCAACCUAAUUAUGACAAUUAAACAACUUAUAUAAGGUUAAUUGCACUUACCUCUUUAUUGAAUUUCCAAAGCCUCCAAUUCUUCACUUCUCUUCUUCCUUUUUGUUCCCAAAGUUUUAAGCAAGGUUGGAUAUCAAAGUUUUGUAUUGGGAAGUAUGGGAAUUAUGAAAAUUUUUUAGGGUUUUAAGAGCUCCCAAAACUCAUCAAUGGAGGUUUGAGAGAAAGAGUGAAAGAGAGAGGGAGUGGGACGGCUAGGAAAAGAAGAUAAUAUUUUUUUUUUCUAAUUGGUCUCUUAUCUUAACAUUUAUCCAUAAUUUCAAAAUUUUAAAUUAUAACUUUUUGUGAUGUCGUGCUUGCAUAGGUGUGAUAUCAUAAUUCCCUUUAUUUAAAAUUCUUUUCUUUUCCUUUUUCCUUUCCUUCCAUAUACCUCUUAUGUUUUUAAUUAGAUUUUCAUAAUUUUAAUUUCCUAUAUUUUAAUGGACAUUUAGGUCAAGAGUCACCUCUAAGGAUGAAUUGACCAUUUUGCCCCUUAACGGUCUGAUCCGUUUUUUCAAUAGCACAAGGUUACUUCCUG